rfam:Schistosoma haematobium scaffold1716_17, whole genome shotgun sequence.
AUCCAGAUGAUGAGUCUUAAAUUGGACGGAACGUGCGUCCUGAAU